rnacentral:miRNA from 1 species
AAAUUAAUCACUGAAAUAGAUGUGAAAUUGUACCAAAAUUAUCUUAAAUGUUGUCACAAGAUGUAAAACUAUAUUACAGUUGCAUCAUUAUGUAGCUAAAUUAUAAUUAUAUAUUAAUAGUUAUAUAUAUUGUAAUAGUGUG